rnacentral:rRNA from 1 species
ACAGAGACCUCAAACGUUGUCCGGAUUUACUGGGCGUAAAGGGUCCGUAGGCGUCUUUGUGCUUCUUUUUUCCCCUCUUUUCUCUCCCCUCCCCUCCCUCCCUCGAUACGGCAAGGCUCGAGCAUGGGAGAGGUACGCGGAAUUGCCGGUGUAGUAGUAAAAUGCGUUAAUAUCGGCAAGAACACCAAAUGCGAAGGCAGCGUACUGGAACAUUGCUGACGCUCAGGGACGAAAGCGUGGGGAGCGAAAGG